rnacentral:rRNA from 1 species
CUACGGGUUGCAGCAGUGGGGAAUAUUGGACAAUGGGGGAAACCCUGAUCCAGCAAUGCCGCGUGUGUGAAGAAGGCCUGCGGGUUGUAAAGCACUUUCGGUUGGGAUGACUGCUUCUAGCACUAAUAUUGUUGGAAGUUGACGUUACCUUCAGAAGAAGCACCGGCUAACUCCGUGCCAGCAGCCGCGGUAAUACGGAGGGUGCAAGGGUUAAUCGGAAUUACUGGGCGUAAAGCGCGCGUAGGCGGCUAGAUCAGUCGGGUGUGAAAGCCCCGGGCUUAACCUGGGAACUGCAUCCGAUACUGUCUAGCUUGAGUACAGGAGAGGAGAGUGGAAUUCCAGAUGUAGCGGUGACAUGCGUAGAUAUGUGGAGGAACACCAAUGGCGAAGGCAGCUCUCUGGCCUGAUACUGACGCUGAGGUGCGAAAGCGUGGGGAGCAAACAGGAUUAGAUACCCCUGUAGUC